rnacentral:rRNA from 1 species
GAUGAACGCUGGCGGCGUGCCUAAUACAUGCAAGUAGAACGCUGAAGCUUGGUGCUUGCACCGAGCGGAUGAGUUGCGAACGGGUGAGUAACGCGUAGGUAACCUGCCUCUUAGCGGGGGAUAACUAUUGGAAACGAUAGCUAAUACCGCAUAAAAGUCGAUAUCGCAUGACAUUGAUUUGAAAGGUGCAAAUGCAUCACUAAGAGAUGGACCUGCGUUGUAUUAGCUAGUUGGUGAGGUAACGGCUCACCAAGGCGACGAUACAUAGCCGACCUGAGAGGGUGAUCGGCCACACUGGGACUGAGACACGGCCCAGACUCCUACGGGAGGCAGCAGUAGGGAAUCUUCGGCAAUGGGGGCAACCCUGACCGAGCAACGCCGCGUGAGUGAAGAAGGUUUUCGGAUCGUAAAGCUCUGUUGUAAGAGAAGAACGAGUGUGAGAGUGGAAAGUUCACACUGUGACGGUAACUUACCAGAAAGGGACGGCUAACUACGUG